rnacentral:misc_RNA from 1 species
UCCGGUUCAUCACCAGCAGUCUCCUUAGAGUCCCCACCAUUACGUGUUGGCAACUAAGGAUAGGGGUUGCGCUCGUUACGGGACUUAACCCAACAUCUCACAACACGAGCUGACGACAGCCAUGCAGCACCUGUCUCAAAGUUCCUUUCGGCACUUUCGCAUCUCUGCAAAAUUCUUUGGAUGUCAAGGGUAGGUAAGGUUCUUCGCGUUGCAUCGAAUUGAACCACAUGCUCCACCGCUUGUGCGGGCCCCCGUCAAUUUCUUUGAGUUUUAACCUUGCGGCCGUACUCCCCAGGCGGAGAACUUAUCGCGUUAGCUUCGAUACUCGCAUGCUUUCGCAUACCAACAUCUAGUUCUCAUCGUUUACAGCGUGGACUAC